ACCAAAAAUUUACGCAAUAUGUGACGUCAGCGGGAACGAGACUCGAGUAAAAAGUGAAUGACAGAGCAUGACAAAAACAUCCCUACACGGAUAUGGAGUUGGUACUAUUUGGAUGGAGGUGUGAACAUGAUGACAUGCCUGUUGGCUGUAUAAAAGUCAAAAGAAGAGAAGAAAAGAUCCUUCCAUAUUUUUCCAGAGUGUCUUUCCGCCAUUAAUAGCAGGUUCGUAAUUGAAGAACCUUAAGUUUGCACAUGCAGAUUUGCAAAGACUCUUUGGAAAAGAUUUUAACAGCAUGACAACCAACAACAUUCCGGAAGAAUUCAUGGAUACAGUGAUUGAUGAAGAAACAAGCCUUUUCGAGAAGUGGAAGAAGAAGAAAUUUGAAUUAUGUUCUUAUCUAAAUAAAGAAGAUUUUCCUA
rnacentral:misc_RNA from 1 species